UACGUAGGGUGCAAGCGUUAAUCGGAAUUACUGGGCGUAAAGCGCACGUAGGCGGCUUUGUAAGUUAGAGGUGAAAGCCCGGAGCUCAACUCCGGAAUUGCCUUUAAGACUGCAUCGCUAGAAUUGUGGAGAGGUAAGUGGAAUUCCGAGUGUAGAGGUGAAAUUCGUAGAUAUGCGGAGGAACACCGGUGGCGAAGGCGGGUCUCUGGGCCGAUACUGACGCUGAGGAGCGAAAGCGUGGGGAGCGAACAGG
rnacentral:rRNA from 1 species